CUCUUUCGGGGGGCGGGACCCCUCGUCUGUGUCUUUCUUCCAGUUCCAACUCCACCAAGCGGAGAGCUGGCUGAGGAGCGUCCCGCAGGAGAGGUUGCUGACGCCGGACACAAAUGGGAACAGGUUGCUGCACAAGGCUGUCGCCCAGGGGAAGAGGGCCCUGGGAUACUACCUGGCUUGGAGGCUGGCCCUUCUGGACAGAAUUGACGAGGAGGAUGCGAGGAAGCAGACUGCAUUGCAUGUAGCCGCUCAAAGGAACCACCACCUUAUAGUCAGUGAUCUGGUCUCCCUGGGAGCGAACGUCAACAAGAGAGAUGGAUCAAAGAAGACUCCGUUGCACCUGUGUGCGGAAAAGGGCUAUGCAAGAGUCCUGGAGGUCUUUAAAAACUGUCAGAGAGGAGGCACCCCUUUAGAAGUGGACGCAACUGACAAUCGGGGUAGGCAAAAAAGACUUCAUCUG